rnacentral:rRNA from 1 species
ACUCGCCCCCUCCCCCCCUCCCCGCCUCGCCGCCGCCCGUCUCCGACGCUCCAUCGGCGCCGACAGCCGCCNNNNNNNNNNNNNNAGGGCCUCGAUCGAGAAGCGGCGGCGGCGGACAUGGGCCAGAUCCAGUACUCCGAGAAGUACUUCGACGACACCUUCGAGUACAGGCACGUCGUCCUCCCGCCGGAAGUCGCCAAGCUCCUCCCCAAGAACCGCCUCCUCGCCGAGAACGAGUGGCGCGCGCUGGGCGUGCAGCAGAGCCGUGGGUGGGUGCACUACGCCGUCCACCGGCCGGAGCCGCACAUCAUGCUGUUCCGCCGCCCGCUCAACUACCAGCAGCAGCAGGACGCGGCGGCCGCCGCCGCGGCGCAGAUGAUGCCCAAGUGAUCGGCCCCAGCGAGGGCAGUGGCGACCGGGGUUGGAACUCCUGAAAACCCCAGGCCCUUUUCAUCUCUAAAAGGGCGGUCGCACUGGUUUGUCUGAUCAGGAUCUAGUUAUGUUGGUGGUGUCCACCAUGUGUUUGUGGAAAUGCCUGGGAGAAACUUGCAGUGUGUUAGUAGUCUGUGUUAUUAUCCUGGAUACUCUUGAAUGCUACCUGUUAUGUUAUGCUGGUACUGUCUGUAGAUCUUCCUGUGAUGAUCUGUUAGUGUUGAUGCUUGCUUUACUGUUAUCUGGUUCCUUAUGAUUAGGAGUAUAGAGUUCAUGUGAUAGUGAAUCUUAUGUUUGCAAGAGGGCAUGGAGCAUUUGUUAUGAAU